rnacentral:misc_RNA from 1 species
CAGGGAAGUGAGCAAGGCUGUGAA